CACCGGGAAUUUCGUGUCAGCA
rnacentral:miRNA from 1 species